UACGUAUGGAGCAAGCGUUAUCCGGAUUUACUGGGUGUAAAGGGAGCGUAGGCGGCUCUGUAAGUCUGAUGUGAAAAUUUGGGGCUCAACCCCAAACGUGCAUUGGAAACUGCAGGGCUCGAGUGCCGGAGAGGCAGGCGGAAUUCCUAGUGUAGCGGUGAAAUGCGUAGAUAUUAGGAGGAACACCAGUGGCGAAGGCGGCCUGCUGGACGGUAACUGACGCUGAGGCUCGAAAGCGUGGGGAGCAAACAGG
rnacentral:rRNA from 1 species